rnacentral:rRNA from 1 species
GGGAACGUGCCUUCCGGUUCGGAAUAACCCUGGGAAACUAGGGCUAAUACCGGAUACGCCCUUAUGGGGAAAGGUUUACUGCCGGAAGAUCGGCCCGCGUCUGAUUAGCUAGUUGGUGGGGUAACGGCCUACCAAGGCGACGAUCAGUAGCUGGUCUGAGAGGAUGAUCAGCCACACUGGGACUGAGACACGGCCCAGACUCCUACGGGAGGCAGCAGUGGGGAAUAUUGGACAAUGGGCGCAAGCCUGAUCCAGCCAUGCCGCGUGGGUGAUGAAGGCCUUAGGGUUGUAAAGCUCUUUUAUCCGGGACGAUAAUGACGGUACCGGAGGAAUAAGCCCCGGCUAACUUCGUGCCAGCAGCCGCGGUAAUACGAAGGGGGCUAGCGUUGCUCGGAAUCACUGGGCGUAAAGGGCGCGUAGGCGGCGUUUUAAGUCGGGGGUGAAAGCCUGUGGCUCAACCACAGAAUGGCCUUCGAUACUGGGACGCUUGAGUAUGGUAGAGGUUGGUGGAACUGCGAGU